UUUUUUUCACCCCUAAUGUCAACUGUCACGGUAAGUCUAGUUUUAAUCUGGUUAAGAUUAUCAUUUUAUGGUUUUCAUCCAUUACCAAUCUUAGUCAAGUCUUCAAUUUUGGUUAUGCACACUUACGUGCCUACACUAAUAAAUGGAUGAUAGUAGAGAUGUCAUUUUUUAGAAUAUAUUUUGUGACCACAUGGUACAUGAUGUAGCGGUUGGUAAUUGAAUUUCUUUUUUAAUCACUAAAACUAAAAUCCAACUAUCAUUUGCCACAUCUGGGGAUGAUUUCAGUUCGAUAACUAAAUCAAAUGGGCUUACCGAAAAUGAACUGAACGGUUUGGGAAGGGAGAAAAACCAAAAUCGAACCGAUUAUUUUAGUUGGUCGAGAUUCGGUAAACUGAAU
rnacentral:lncRNA from 1 species